rnacentral:rRNA from 1 species
GAUGAACGCUGGCGGCGUGCCUAAUACAUGCAAGUCGAGCGAAUGGAUUAAGAGCUUGCUCUUAUGAAGUUAGCGGCGGACGGGUGAGUAACACGUGGGUAACCUGCCCAUAAGACUGGGAUAACUCCGGGAAACCGGGGCUAAUACCGGAUAACAUUUUGAACCGCAUGGUUCGAAAUUGAAAGGCGGCUUCGGCUGUCACUUAUGGAUGGACCCGCGUCGCAUUAGCUAGUUGGUGAGGUAACGGCUCACCAAGGCAACGAGGCGUAGCCGACCUGAGAGGGUGAUCGGUCACACUGUGACUGAGACACGGCCCAGACUCCUACGGGAGGCAGCAGUAGGGAAUCUUCCGCAAUGUACGAAAGUCUGACGGAGCAACGGCGCGUGAGUGAUGAAGGCUUUCGGGUCGUAAAACUCUGUUGUUAGGGAAGAACAAGUGCUAGUUGAAUAAGCUGGCACCUUGACGGUACCUAACCAGAAAGCCACGGCUAACUACGUGCCAGCAGCCGCAGUAA